GUUUGUCAAUAUGUGUCUUCCAGCAGAGAAGAUUAUCAAUAUGAAUCCCUAAAUAUUUAUAUGAGGAUACCUGGGUGAUUUCAUGAUUUUUGACGACCACUGGCUCAUGGUCAGUCACUUUCCUCGGAUCCAAAACCAUUUCCUGUUCUUGGUCACAUUUAAAAUAAGAUGGUUGGUAUCACACCACCUAAUAAAUAGGUCUAUCUCGUCUUGGUACACAGAGGGGUCCGUAUCCUUGUGUAGAAGGCUUAGGAGCACGGUAUCGUCCGCAAAUUUCACCAUAUAAUUGUUAGGGUGCACAGUCCUACAAUCAUUGGUGUACAAUGUAAACAGUGUUGGUGAUACAACGCAACCCUGUGGGACGCCUGUGUUGCAGUGUUUGGUGUCUGACAGUGUUCUGUUGACCUUCACUUGCUGUGUUCUGUUUGUUAAAAAAGAGUGGAACCAUUUGAUCAAGGUGGAGUUUACACCCAUGUCUUUGAGCUUCUCCAAGAGUAUGUGAAUUUGCACUGUAUUAAAAGCUGAGCUGAAAUCAACAAAUAAAAUGCUAGCAUAAGCUUUUGUGUUCUCAAGGUGCUUGGAGAUAAAGUGCAAGGUGCAAAGGAUUGCAUCAUCAGUACUGCAUUCCUGCUUGUACGCAAACUGGUACACAUCUAACUUUGGCUUGACAUCCUUCAUGAGCAGUGACACAACAAAUUUUUCAAAACAUUUCAUAACAAUCGAAGUGAGAGCUACGGGACGAAAGUCGUUGUUUACUGUGACACCGGGCUUUUUAGGCACUGGAGUUAUAAUUGACUUCUUCCACAGAGCUGGAACAGUGUGAGUGUUAAGUGACUGUUGGAAUAUUGGACACCAUGCUGUAGUUAGUUCCUCUGCACAGCUUUUGAGCAAAAAAGCUGGGAGGCCGUCAGGGCCUGCGGCCUUGCCCGUACGUACUCUACUAAAGAGAUGGUCGGGUCGACUUCCAGGCAGCAGGUAUCAUCAGUGUCUGGCAGGGACUGCAAAAUACUGUCACACUCCUGAGAGAAGUUUUGAUGGUCGAAUCUCAAAUAAAAGUCAUUUAGCUCAUUUGAUUUUUGCUGCUCAUCCAGGGUGAUGAUUUGUUUCUUUGCAUGGUUCAUAUUAGUGACUGAUUUCAUUGUGUCCCAAAGUUUUUUUGUAUUUGACAUUUGGAGAUGAUGUUCCAUUGUUUGCCUAUGUUGCUCUCUUGCAUUAGUGAGAAGUUGUUUGAGUUCUUUUUGGACAACUGACAGUCCUGCUCUGUCUUUACUUCUAAAGGCCUGCUUUUUCCUAUUCAUGCAGUCUUUUAUUUCUUUUGUUACAUAGGGUUUGUUAUUGGGAUAUACUACAAUGUUUUUCUCGGGUACCACAUUGCCAACACAAAAAUCAAUGUAGUCCGUUAUAGUUACUGUAGCCUCAUCUAGUCCUAAUGCAUGGAACAGGGACCAGUCUGUGCACAUGAAACACCCCUUCAGUGUCUCAAUAGCAUCGUCUGACCACACAUUAAUUGUCUUAUGCUCAGGUUUAAUUGAUUUAAAAACAGAUUUAUAUGUGGGUAUUAGAUGUAUGGUGUUGUGAUCCGAGUUGGAAAGGGGGGGCUUUGGUUUUGCUGAAUAUCCCCCCUUUAUAUUGCCAUAGCAUUUAUCUAGAAUCUUGUCAUUUCUUGUGUCACAUUUUACAAAUUGUUCAAAGCCCGGCAAGGCAGUCUCCAGUUUACAAUGGUUAAAGUCACCCAAAAAGAAAACAGGAGCUCCAGGUGUGCGCUGCAGCUGUUCAUGUGCGCACUCUGCUAUGCUCGCAGCAGCUCUGCCUGCAUUGCCGCUGGGUGGGACAUAAACAGCGGCUAUGAUGAUGUUGCCAAACUCCCUAGGCAGGUAGUAAGGUCUCAUUGAUAAACACAGCAGUUCUACGUCGGGGCUGCAUAUGUUUUUUUUCACAUUGAGCUGUUUACACCACUUGUCACUCACGUACACGCCGACUCCGCCCCCUUUUCUCUUCCCGGAAGCGUCAGAGCGGUCAGCUCGUACGAGUGAGAAUCCAUCUAGGUCAAGCAGAGAAUCCGGGACGCCUUGGUGAAGCCACGUCUCGGUGAACACCAUGAUGUUGGUUUCCCGGUAUUCAAAGCAGCUCUUUAGGUUGACCCGAAGCUCAUCCAGCUUUGGUGCCAGCGAUCGCACGUUGCUGAGUAUUAUUGACGGCAGCGGUGGUCUGUUGAUUCGCCGGCGGAGGCGUUCUCGGACACCUCCCCGUCUGCCUCGCUUGCGUUGUGGCCGUGUGCCGGUGUGUGUCGCUCGGAUGACUGCCGGUAGAUGUUCCGGUGGUGUGGAUUGGCGUGGUGUGGGUCGGAGGGACAGUAAGGCAUCUCUGGAGUAGACGCGACAUCCAUGUUCCCAUUGCACGUUCGUUGCAAGACAAAAAAUUACGCGUUCGCUGAUAAAAAAGAGGAUCAGCAGUACGAUAUAAAAACUUGCUUCCAUUGUUAGGGCUCGUGCUACAAACAAUUGGUAGUUCAGACGGCCGAGUUCUUUGUAUGUCGAAUGUCAAUUUAUGCCGUGAUCAGUUUCACGUAAACCCACACAGCAGAAGACUGCUAUACGGAUCCGCCUUCAAGUCGCCCAACCCGCGUUACUGUCACAUUCGUUUUGGCUCCGCCUAGAGGAUACAGCUCCGCCUCUGAAAAUUGUACGGUCAGACAGCUGAUCCUGAGCGGACUCGUGUCUGAUUCGCAUACGCGGACGCGACAAAGUAAACCGGCGCGCGCCGCCUAGAGUUAUAGGCUCCGCCUACGCGCGCUGAGCCGACCAAUGUCUGCACCCGCAGACGUGGACGCGCCUACUAGCGUGUACGCGCAUGAGCCAAGAUCUCUGGACUUUCUUUGCUGGAACACGAACCGCCGCCUCCCAGAAUGCUUUGAAUGGGGACGUGCGUCUGAUGUCACGUAUCCAGAAAUUUCAUAAUGGCUGCACGCGGUAGGUGAGGCCCGAGCGAAGAAAAGUGGAAAAGAGUGUUAUUCGUCAAAAAACCCACACAACGACGGUCAUUUUUUCGCCGUGCUAUUGUAAAAUGGUCUUUUAUCUGUGUUUUGUGUUCCGGGGGACCCCGACUCCAGAAUGUGAAAGUUUCCCGCGUGAAGCCGUGGAGCUCGAGAUCCUGUUUACUGUGGACUAGCUGUGUGUGACGCCAUGUUGUUUUUGUUUCCAUUACAAAAAAAAAGCUCCACCGUCUCGCCGAGUGCCAGCAAGAGUCAUGACUACUUGUCAACUCGACUCCUCAACUGGAGAUAACUUUCUAG